GCAGUCGAACGAACUUCCGUUAAUUGAUUAUGACGUACUUGUACUGAUUGAGAUUUUAACACGAAGUGAGUGGCGAACGGGUGAGUAACACGUGGGUAACCUGCCCAGAAGUAGGGGAUAACACCUGGAAACAGAUGCUAAUACCGUAUAACAGAGAAAACCGCAUGGUUUUCUUUUAAAAGAUGGCUCUGCUAUCACUUCUGGAUGGACCCGCGGCGUAUUAGCUAGUUGGUGAGGUAAAGGCUCACCAAGGCAGUGAUACGUAGCCGACCUGAGAGGGUAAUCGGCCACAUUGGGACUGAGACACGGCCCAGACUCCUACGGGAGGCAGCAGUAGGGAAUCUUCCACAAUGGACGCAAGUCUGAUGGAGCAACGCCGCGUGAGUGAAGAAGGGUUUCGGCUCGUAAAGCUCUGUUGUUAAAGAAGAACGUGGGUAAGAGUAACUGUUUACCCAGUGACGGUAUUUAACCAGAAAGCCACGGCUAACUACGUGCCAGCAGCCGCGGUAAUACGUAGGUGGCAAGCGUUAUCCGGAUUUAUUGGGCGUAAAGCGAGCGCAGGCGGUCUUUUAAGUCUAAUGUGAAAGCCUUCGGCUCAACCGAAGAAGUGCAUUGGAAACUGGGAGACUUGAGUGCAGAAGAGGACAGUGGAACUCCAUGUGUAGCGGUGAAAUGCGUAGAUAUAUGGAAGAACACCAGUGGCGAAGGCGGCUGUCUGGUCUGCAACUGACGCUGAGGCUCGAAAGCAUGGGUAGCGAACAGGAUUAGAUACCCUGGUAGUCCAUGCCGUAAACGAUGAUUACUAAGUGUUGGAGGGUUUCCGCCCUUCAGUGCUGCAGCUAACGCAUUAAGUAAUCCGCCUGGGGAGUACGACCGCAAGGUUGAAACUCAAAAGAAUUGACGGGGGCCCGCACAAGCGGUGGAGCAUGUGGUUUAAUUCGAAGCUACGCGAAGAACCUUACCAGGUCUUGACAUCUUCUGACAGUCUAAGAGAUUAGAGGUUCCCUUCGGGGACAGAAUGACAGGUGGUGCAUGGUUGUCGUCAGCUCGUGUCGUGAGAUGUUGGGUUAAGUCCCGCAACGAGCGCAACCCUUAUUACUAGUUGCCAGCAUUAAGUUGGGCACUCUAGUGAGACUGCCGGUGACAAACCGGAGGAAGGUGGGGACGACGUCAAAUCAUCAUGCCCCUUAUGACCUGGGCUACACACGUGCUACAAUGGAUGGUACAACGAGUCGCGAGACCGCGAGGUUAAGCUAAUCUCUUAAAACCAUUCUCAGUUCGGACUGUAGGCUGCAACUCGCCUACACGAAGUCGGAAUCGCUAGUAAUCGCGGAUCAGCAUGCCGCGGUGAAUACGUUCCCGGGCCUUGUACACACCGCCCGUCACACCAUGAGAGUUUGUAACACCCAAAGCCGGUGGGGUAACCU
rnacentral:rRNA from 1 species